rnacentral:rRNA from 1 species
UACGAGGGGGGCAAGCGUUGUUCGGAAUUAUUGGGCGUAAAGGGCGCGUAGGCGGUUUGACAAGUCUGAUGUGAAAUCUCUGGGCUCAACCCAGAGUCUGCAUUAGAAACUGUCGGGCUUGAGUAUGGGAGAGGUGAGUGGAAUUUCCGGUGUAGCGGUGAAAUGCGUAGAUAUCGGAAAGGAACACCUGUGGCGAAAGCGGCUCACUGGACCAUAACUGACGCUGAGGCGCGAAAGCUAAGGGGAGC